UAGAACUCUAAAAUCUCUCUAAUUAUAGACAUUCACCUUAAAUAGGAGAUUUCAUAACAUCAUUUUUAUUAUUAGAAUUAUAAUAAUAAGAUAACUUGAUCUCACACAAAGUUAUUACUUGAAAGUUUGAAUUAUAAGAAACAAGCUGGUUCAAAGCAAAGUCAAAGUAAGAGUAGAAGUUUUCCCCAAACUUACGUGGCAUCUUUCCAAAGAAAAAAACAAUUGAAUUCAAUUGAAAGACAACUCAAAUUAUUAACUAUUUUGAUGAAUAAAAAAGACGUACCGUAUCGAAAUAGUGUUCCAAAAUCCCUAAUAGAUUGCUUUUGAAUUUUGGUUCUCAUUGCUAAUUCCAUUAUGCCCAAAUAACAAGUCUAGCUCAAAUUCGUUUCUUAUAAAAAAUAAAAAUUGUUAUGAAAUAAUAUAAAGAACAAGAACAAUAUAGAGAGAAUAGGGAGAGAGAGGAGUANNNNNNNNNNNNNNNNNNNNNNNNNNNNNNNNNNNNNNNNNNNNNNNNNNNNNNNNNNNNNNNNNNNNNNNNNNNNNNNAUGAUUUACAAUGGGGUAAGACCCCUCUAUUUAUAGGAAGAGAAAUGACUUAGCUUCAAGCUAAAACUCUUAGACAUUCACUCUAAAUAGAGUUCUAUUAUAACAAAAAUAAUCAAGAAAGGAUUAAAAUCAUUAAAUUUAUAAAGAUUAAGAUCAAUCUUAUCUUACAUGAAAGAUGAAUAACCAAUAAAAUUUAGACAGAAAAAGCCCAUGAAAAGAAUUGAUUGGCACUUAGUAGUCGGACUUACUAUUUUUCGUUUAAUUUCGUUCAGAAGACUACACUCAUAUAUAAUUUAUUUUACAUGAUUAUCUUAUGCAUUUAGAUUUCUAUUUUUUAUGAAUAUUUAAUGGGCUAAAACCCAAAACUAGAAUAAUUUAGUAAAAUCAAUAUGACUAUCAUUUUAGUUUCAACUAAUCUUUUACAUCCUUUAUUGUAGAGAAAAAUAAUGUUGAUCACAUAUAAUAUUUAUUCGAGAUUUUUAUUGACUUUUAUAUCUUUUAUUGUAGAGAAAAAUAAUAUUGAUCAAAUAUAAUAUUUAUUAAAGAUUUUUAUCACAUCUAUUUCUUUUUAUUUCCGACUUUUUCUUUGCCUGCGAAGAGAAUUGCAAGGAAGAUAAUAUAUUAUAUUUUUGAGGAAUUGAGCAUUGAACUUCUAAUGUAUUAAGUUACAAUUAAUUUUAGAAUACUAUGCAUUCAAAAUUUCAUUAUUACUUUAGGAACAUGCUGCGUGUCGGCUCGCUCCCAGGCCACUGAAGCGAAAGCUUUAGGCCUCAAAAAAUAGGAGGCCCCAAAAUUUACCCGUCUUAUGAUCAUUUACUGCCUACUUUCAAACAAUCUACAUUGUUUCUAAUAGAUGUGUUUGAGUUAAUUUUGAAUAUAAGUGUUAGAUAAAUUAAAAUUGUAGUUACUUUAUUAUUAUUAUUAUUAUUUUACUCUAAUUGAAUCACUUUUGUUUUGACCUUUAGAUUGGUAUAAUUUUUCCUUUUAGGCUACCGUAAAUAUGUAUCAAAUAAUUAACUUGUGAAAAGCUCCAAAUUAGAAUAUAAGUAUUUAGCAGAUGUUGUUUCUUUGGAAUGCCGCGAUCAAAAUUAUAAUUAAUUUUUAUUUAAUAUCAAUAAAGUUUCAAUAAAGAUUAAGUGGAUUGGUUACAUUAUCAAUUGAAAAAAAAAAUUGCCCUAUAAAAAUUCAUCAUAAUUUUUUUGUUAACAACUUUGCAUUUGAAAAAGCUAAUAAAUAAACUUCAAAAAGAAAAAAUAUGAUAAUUUUAUUAAAUAAGUCUAAGGCCUCGUGUUAAGAUUUGGCUUUAGGCCCAAUAUUAUAUUUAGCCGCCUCUGUUUGUAAUAUUUUGAC
rnacentral:lncRNA from 1 species